GAGCUGAGCAGCUGGAGCAUUACAUGUGUGCAGAGGAGGGAACAGGAGCUGCUGUGUGGAGAGCACUCAGGAGGGCCAGUGUGUGGACACAUGUGGCGCGGACCAGGAGUGAUGCAGCGACUGUGUUCCCAGAGCAGGACAAGGGUUCUUCAAUAACAGUCAUCAGGAACAAUAUUAAACAGACAACCAGCUGACCUCUCCAGGGACUCAACAGGAGGGCCUGAGGGAUGAUUGUCAACAAGUCUCUCAGGCCCCCUCCACUGCCACCCAGGAAGAAAACAUCUCAGCCAUCAGGGUAGCAGUGGAAGGCCACAACAGACACCUAGAUCUCCUAAUGGAGUUCCUGGAGAGGGAUUGUGAAGCCAGGAUGCGAGAGACCUUUCUCCUAAACCAAAUACUGGGGGUGUUUAUAGACAUUCUAGCAAAUAGACCCUCCACCACUGACCAACCAUCCCGACUCACUGGCCCACGUAAAACCCGCCUUUGGCCAGAGCAUGUGAGGAUGGGCCAGCAAGCCUACCUGCCCACUCAACGCCCACAGCCUGCUGUGAAGCAUGGGCGCCACUUUGAACUUUUGCAAGAUCUUGACCUUCUUCUCUUUACUCCUGACCUUGAAUUCAUGAAGAAUCUUGCCAGUGCCUCUUUAUUCAGGAUGGCAUUCCUUCUCAUUGUGAUGUGUGGCACUUGUCUAUCAGCUAGUUCUUCUGUUGAAUCAUAACAGGUGUUUUGUUGUCACAUUGGAGUGUAUGCUUGAGAUUGUUUUAUCUGCAGUAGAGGCAGCUACAACUGCUGACUUCAUUUUCUCUAGAUUUGUAAGCCACACCCUCUGAUUUACCUACAACUCAUCCAGAAAGUCCAAACACAAAAAAUAAAGCAAUUUAAAACCA